rnacentral:lncRNA from 1 species
CACAGGUUGGGCUCUGCUCUCACUCCCUCCCCGUUUCAGAACGAGGUCAGGAUGCCGACCAGCGUGGUGAAGGUGAACAACAUGGAGGUUUCCACUGAGGGCUCGGACAAGACCGUCAUCAACAUCAGCGUCACCCAGGAGUCAUCGCUGGCCUUCCUGGUCAGGUCUGUGCAAUGGGCAAGGGCCAGGCCUGGGGCACCCGCCAGCCAGGGCCUUGCCAAGGGCUGCUGCCGCGGGGAGCAGAACGUGCUGGGGUUCAUCAUCUCGGGAGUCUCUUGCAUUGUGAGCGAAAAGCAUGGCCCGGGCUGUGUGGGGACUAUGCCGCCCCCCCUCCCCCCGUUCCUGCGUGCUGCCUGCUUCCAGGGGCCACGGAUUGCAGAGCAGCCCCCUCAGGAGAGAUGAGAGGGGCUGUCCCACCAGGUGCAUGCGCAGCCCCCUGGAGCACUGCUUUGUCCUGUUACAGCUGAAUUCGUGUUAUAUCGGGCUGCAUUAUAUCGAGGUAGAGGUGUAAUUUGAUAUGUCGGGUGACGCCUUUUUUUAAUGUGUUCGCUCCCCCUGAUGUUAGAACCUGGCUACACCGCUGGGGCAGAACGGUCCUGGUGCCAGGAAUCUACAAAACCCCUUCUACUGGGUGUCGGGGUGGGGGGGAGUCUGACUGCCCUGAUGCCCCUGUGACGGUGCUGCCCGUGUGAGCCAGCUGAGGUCACUCAAUCAGGGUGAACUGCAAACAGAACAGGGCAGACAAAUCCCAGAUGCUGGUGGUUAUUCCAAUACUUGGAUUUACCAACCAGCACAAAACAGCUUCUGUAGUACCUAACUGGUUACUUAAAAGUUUGAACCAUGCAGUUCCCUUAAAGUGCCCAGCCUCAGGCCUCCAUCCAGACACACCUGUCAGAUAUGAUGAUGAUUCCUGAAAAUCUUACUUCAUCAUAUAAAAGAAAAGGUUCUUCCAAUCCCAAAGGAUCAGCCACACACCCAGGUCCAAUUACAACUUAGAUCUUACCCACAAUACAUGCUACAGCCAAUUCUUAUUAACUAAGCUAAAAUUUAUUUAAAAAGAAAAGAGAGAGAGAGAGUUGGUUAAAAGAUAAUACACAUACAGACUUGAAUUCAAUUCUUUAGGUUCAGAUACAUAGUAGAGGUGAGCUUGUAGUUGCCAAAAGUCCUUUUAGAAAUAGUCUAUAGGUUAUAGUCCAAUUUCCAUAUUCAGGGUGGCUCCAGUCAGUGACUGGGGAUCUCAGUCCUUAUGGCUUAAGAGUUCCUCCUCUUGAAACCCAAAGCAGAUCUGAGAUGAAGCAGGAUCAUGUCCCAGGUUCUUAUAUAUUUCCAGCAGCCUUUCGGUCUGAGAAAACAAUAGGCUUAACUCCUUCUCCCAAACAUCCUGGCAAUUAGCACAGAGUAC